rnacentral:rRNA from 1 species
GAUGAACGCUGGCGGCGUGCCUAAUACAUGCAAGUCGAGCGAACAGACGAGGAGCUUGCUCCUCUGACGUUAGCGGCGGACGGGUGAGUAACACGUGGAUAACCUACCUAUAAGACUGGGAUAACUUCGGGAAACCGGAGCUAAUACCGGAUAAUAUAUUGAACCGCAUGGUUCAAUAGUGAAAGACGGUUUUGCUGUCACUUAUAGAUGGAUCCGCGCCGCAUUAGCUAGUUGGUAAGGUAACGGCUUACCAAGGCGACGCGGCGUAGCCGACCUGAGCGGGUGAUCGGCGACACUGGAACUGAGACACGGUCCAGACUCCUACGGGAGGCAGCAGUAGGGAAUCUUCCGCAAUGGGCGAAAGCCUGACGGAGCAACGCCGCGUGAGUGAUGAAGGUCUUCGGAUCGUAAAACUCUGUUAUUAGGGAAGAACAAAUGUGUAAGUAACUAUGCACGUCUUGACGGUACCUAAUCAGAAAGCCACGGCUAACUACGUG